UCAUGUGGUGGCGCUGUGGCUCCUGUUUGGCCGCAUUGAUUGAAAGACUGGAAAUGGAGAGAAACGCAGAACUUAAUCCAUUGGCAUCAGAUCCUGGCAAGAAACUCAGUGGAAAACGAAAAGCACUCCAUGAUAUAUGUAGCAGGUAAAAUUCUUAAAGGACAUUCAGAAGCAAUAUACUGUUUAACAUUCCUGCCAGCCCACCAAAAAUAAGGAAGAUUCCAGGACACUUUAAAUGGGAAAUGGAUUGGAGCGAGAGAGAGAGAGAGAGAGAGAGGAAAGACAGGAUAGAGAGAGACAACUGGACCUGCUGUAUCUGAUGAGUUGAUCUGUCAUGAAGCGUUGGGCUUGUAGGAUUUAAUGCAUGUGAAAGGUUCUGACAUCUUUCAUCUUGGAUCCACAUGAAGUAGAACAGACUUUUUUCUUCUCAUUGACAGGGCUGGAGAAGUGGAGUUUCACUGGACCUCUGUGGCUCCAUCUGCUGAAAUAUUCAUCUUUAGUAGUAAUUGAGAGGCAGAAAGGGAGAACAAAAC